GAAGCCGGUUGCCUGAAGGCGGGUUACAGUGCCGGCUUUGACGUAGCUGGGGCUGCCGCCGGUUCGCGCGCCGACCUUGCUCCAC
rnacentral:tRNA from 1 species